ACACAUGCAAGUCGAGGGGAAACGACAUCGAAAGCUUGCUUUUGAUGGGCGUCGACCGGCGCACGGGUGAGUAACGCGUAUCCAACCUGCCCACCACUUGGGAAUAACCUUGCGAAAGUAAGACUAAUACCCAAUGAUAUCUCUAGAAGACAUCUGAAGGAGAUUAAAGAUUUAUCGGUGAUGGAUGGGGAUGCGUCUGAUUAGCUUGUUGGCGGGGUAACGGCCCACCAAGGCGACGAUCAGUAGGGGUUCUGAGAGGAAGGUCCCCCACAUUGGAACUGAGACACGGUCCAAACUCCUACGGGAGGCAGCAGUGAGGAAUAUUGGUCAAUGGGCGAGAGCCUGAACCAGCCAAGUAGCGUGCAGGAUGACGGCCCUAUGGGUUGUAAACUGCUUUUAUAAGGGAAUAAAGUGAGAGUCGUGACUCUUUUUGCAUGUACCUUAUGAAUAAGGACCGGCUAAUUCCGUGCCAGCAGCCGCGGUAAUACGGAAGGUCCGGGCGUUAUCCGGAUUUAUUGGGUUUAAAGGGAGCGUAGGCCGGAGAUUAAGCGUGUUGUGAAAUGUAGAUGCUCAACAUCUGCACUGCAGCGCGAACUGGUUUCCUUGAGUACGCACAAAGUGGGCGGAAUUCGUGGUGUAGCGGUGAAAUGCUUAGAUAUCACGA
rnacentral:rRNA from 1 species